rnacentral:rRNA from 1 species
UUUCUUGGUCCAUUUUUAGAGAAGUAAAAGUCGUAACAAGGUCUCCGUAGGUGAACCUGCGGAGGGAUCAUUACACAAUAUGAAAGCGGGUUGGGACCUCACCUCGGUGAGGGCUCCAGCUUGUCUGAAUUAUUCACCCAUGUCUUUUGCGCACUUCUUGUUUCCUGGGCGGGUUCGCCCGCCACCAGGACCAAACCAUAAACCUUUUUGUAAUUGCAAUCAGCGUCAGUAAACAAUGUAAUUAUUACAACUUUCAACAACGGAUCUCUUGGUUCUGGCAUCGAUGAAGAACGCAGCGAAAUGCGAUACGUAGUGUGAAUUGCAGAAUUCAGUGAAUCAUCGAAUCUUUGAACGCACAUUGCGCCCUUUGGUAUUCCAAAGGGCAUGCCUGUUCGAGCGUCAUUUGUACCCUCAAGCUUUGCUUGGUGUUGGGCGUCUUUGUCUCUCACGAGACUCGCCUUAAAAUGAUUGGCAGCCGACCUACUGGUUUCGGAGCGCAGCACAAUUCUUGCACUUUGAAUCAGCCUUGGUUGAGCAUCCAUCAAGACCACAUUUUUAACUUUUGACCUCGGAUCAGGUAGGGAUACCCGCUGAACUUAAGCAUACAAUUAAGGCGGGAGGAAA